rnacentral:lncRNA from 1 species
GUCUGAUAAACAGGUAGACAGACAGAUAGACAGUCUGAUAAACAGGUAGACAGACAGAUAAACAGGUAGACAGUCAGAUAAACAGGUAGACAGUCAGAUAAACAGGUAGACAGUCAGAAGCAGGUAGACAGUCAGAAACAGGUAGACAGACAGAUAAACAGGUAGACAGUCAGAUAGACAGGUAGACAGUCAGAUAGACAGGUAGACAGUCUGAUAGACAGACAGAUAGACAGGUAGACAGACAGAUAGACAGGUAGACAGUCAGGUAAACAGGUAGACAGUCAGAUAGACAGGUAGACAGUCAGAUAGACAUGUAGAGAGUCAGAUAAACAGGUAGACAGACAGAUAGACAGGUAGACAGACAGGUAGACAGUCAGAUAAACAGGUAGACAGGCAGAUAAACAGGUAGACAGUCAGAUAGACAUGUAGACAGACAGAUAAACAGGUAGACAGACAGAUAGACAGGUAGACAGACAGGUAGACAGUCAGAUAGACAGGUAGACAGUCAGAUAAACAGGUAGAAAGGCAGAUAGACAGGUAGACAGUCAGGUAGUUAGGUAGACAGACAGAUAAACAGGUAGACAGGCAG